AUUGAACGCUGGCGGCAGGCUUAACACAUGCAAGUCGAGCGGAGAUGAGGUGCUUGCACCUUAUCUUAGCGGCGGACGGGUGAGUAAUGCUUAGGAAUCUGCCUAUUAGUGGGGGACAACAUUCCGAAAGGAAUGCUAAUACCGCAUACGCCCUACGGGGGAAAGCAGGGGAUCUUCGGACCUUGCGCUAAUAGAUGAGCCUAAGUCGGAUUAGCUAGUUGGUGGGGUAAAGGCCUACCAAGGCGACGAUCUGUAGCGGGUCUGAGAGGAUGAUCCGCCACACUGGGACUGAGACACGGCCCAGACUCCGACGGGAGGCAGCAGUGGGGAAUAUUGGACAAUGGGCGGAAGCCUGAUCCAGCCAUGCCGCGUGUGUGAAGAAGGCCUUUUGGUUGUAAAGCACUUUAAGCGAGGAGGAGGCUACCUGGAUUAAUACUCUAGGAUAGUGGACGUUACUCGCAGAAUAAGCACCGGCUAACUCUGUGCCAGCAGCCGCUGUAAUAC
rnacentral:rRNA from 1 species